rnacentral:rRNA from 1 species
UAGGGAAUCUUCCACAAUGGACGCAAGUCUGAUGGAGCAACGCCGCGUGAGUGAAGAAGGUUUUCGGAUCGUAAAGCUCGGUUGUUGGUGAAGAAGGAUGGAGGCAGUAACUGGUCUUUAUUUGACGGUAAUCAACCAGAAAGUCACGGCUAACUACGUGCCAGCAGCCGCGGUAAUACGUAGGUGGCAAGCGUUGUCCGGAUUUAUUGGGCGUAAAGCGAGCGCAGGCGGAAUGAUAAGUCUGAUGUGAAAGCCCACGGCUCAACCGUGGAACGGCAUCGGAAACUGUCAUUCUUGAGUGCAGAAGAGGAGAGUGGAAUUCCAUGUGUAGCGGUGGAAUGCGUAGAUAUAUGGAAGAACACCAGUGGCGAAGGCGGCUCUCUGGUCUGCAACUGACGCUGAGGCUCGAAAGCAUGGGUAGCGAACAGG